GACGAACGCUGGCGGCGUGCUUAACACAUGCAAGUCGAACGAAGCUUGAUUACGGAUUCUUCGGAUGAAGUAUGAUAUGACUGAGUGGCGGACGGGUGAGUAACGCGUGAGUAACCUGCCCUUCAGAGGGGGAUAGCGUUUGGAAACGAACGUUAAUACCGCAUAAUGUAUUUUGACCGCAUGAUCGAAAUACCAAAGAUUUAUCGCUGAAGGAUGGACUCGCGUCUGAUUAGGUAGUUGGUGGGGUAACGGCCUACCAAGCCGACGAUCAGUAGCCGGACUGCGAAGAUGAUGGGCCGCCUUGGGACUGAGACACGAGUCAGACUCAUUCGGGAGGGGGCGGUGGGGAGUAUUGCACAGAGGGCGCGGGCGUGAUGCAGCAACGCCGCGUGAAGGACGACGGUUUUCAAAUAGUUGACUUCUGUUCUUAGUGAAGAGUAAUGACGGUAGCUAAAGAGCAAGCCACGGCUAACUACGUG
rnacentral:rRNA from 1 species